rnacentral:rRNA from 1 species
AUGGGCGUCUUGGAUCACCUCUCCGAUUUGUGCAGCAUGACAGACACAAAGGCAGCCCUCAAGCUCAGGAAGAGGCGGCCGAUGCAGACGGUAAACAUCAAGGUGAAGAUGGACUGCGAGGGCUGCGAGAGGAGGGUCAAGAACGCCGUCAAGUCGAUUCGGGGUGUGACGGCCGUGUCAGUGAACCCCAAGAUGAGCAAGGUGACGGUGACGGGGUUCGUUGAGCCGAGCAAGGUGCUGGCGCGGGUGAAGAGCACCGGGAAGGUGGCCGAGAUGUGGCCCUACGUGCCGUACUCGCUCACCACCUACCCCUAUGUCGGCGGCGCCUACGACAAGAAGGCGCCGGCGGGCUUCGUCCGCGGCGCGCCGCAGGCCAUGGCCGACCCCGGGGCGCCGGAGGUCCGGUACAUGAACAUGUUCAACGACGAGGACGUCAACUCCUGCGCCAUCAUGUGA